UAGGCCUAUGAUAUGAGAUUUAUUGAGAUUGAUUUUUAAACCAGUGAGUAUCUCAUAAGCAUAAAGGAUGAACUUCAGAGAGUUGAGAUGAUUUUUGUUUGCACUACAAAAGUUAAGCGUAUCGUCCAUAAAUUGUGAGCAAUGGAUUUGGCUAGUGAUUGCUUUCGGGCUGAUGCCGGCGAUGACUCCCUCUGAUUCUGCACACCUCAAAAUGCGAGUAAGAGUAUCUGCUGCUAAGAUAAAAAGCAUAGGGGAGAG
rnacentral:lncRNA from 1 species